CUACGGGGUGCAGCAGUGGGGAAUAUUGCACAAUGGGCGCAAGCCUGAUGCAGCCAUGCCGCGUGUAUGAAGAAGGCCUUCGGGUUGUAAAGUACUUUCAGCGGGGAGGAAGGGAGUAAAGUUAAUACCUUUGCUCAUUGACGUUACCCGCAGAAGAAGCACCGGCUAACUCCGUGCCAGCAGCCGCGGUAAUACGGAGGGUGCAAGCGUUGAUCGGAAUUACUGGGCGUAAAGCGCACGCAGGCGGUUUGUUAAGUCAGAUGUGAAAUCCCCGGGCUCAACCUGGGAACUGCAUCUGAUACUGGCAAGCUUGAGUCUCGUAGAGGGGGGUAGAAUUCCAGGUGUAGCGGUGAAAUGCGUAGAGAGCUGGAGGAAUACCGGUGGCGAAGGCGGCCCCCUGGACGAAGACUGACGCUCAGGUGCGAAAGCGUGGGGAGCAAACAGGAUUAGAUACCCUAGUAGUC
rnacentral:rRNA from 1 species